ACCAGCAUGGUGUAGUGGUUUGAGCAUUAGACUACAACUCUAGAGAUCAGGGUUCGAAUCCCUGCUCAGCCA
rnacentral:tRNA from 1 species